UCAGCGAGUUCCUGACGUGUGAUGGGGAGGGAAAAUAAGUACCGAAGCAGCUGAUUUCACACUGCCAAGAAAAGCCGCUGGUGAGAUCCAAGGUGCCCGUACCGCAAACCGACACAGGUAGAUGAGGAGAGAAUCCUAAGGCGAGCGAGAGAACUAUUGUUAAGGAACUCGGCAAAAUGACCCCGUAACUUAGGGAGAAGGGGUGCUGCAGAAAUGCAGCCGCAGUGAAGAGGCCCAGGCGACUGUUUACCAAAAACACAGGUCUCUGCGAAAGCGAAAGCUGAAGUAUAGGGGCUGACGCCUGCCCGGUGCUGGAAGGUUAAGGGGAAGUGUCAGGGCGACCGAAGCACAGAACUUAAGCCCCAGUAAACGGCGGCCGUAACGAUAACGGUCCUAGGGUAGCGAAAUUCCUUGUCGGGUAAGUUCCGACCCGCACGAAAGGCGUAACGAUCUGGGCACUGUCUCGACAAUAGGCUCGGUGAAAUUGUAGUACCGGUAAAGAUGCCGGUUACCCGCAGCAGGACGGAAAGACCCCGUGGAGCUUUACUGCAGUUUGAUAUUGAGUUUCGGCAUUGCAUGUACAGGAUAGGUGGGAGACAGAGAAGUAUGCACGCCAGUGUGUAAUGAGUCGCCGUUGGGAUACCACCCUUGUAAUGUUGGAAUUCUAACCAGGGCCCGUGACCCGGGUCGGGGACAGUGUCAGACGGGCAGUUUGACUGGGGCGGUCGCCUCCUAAAGAGUAACGGAGGCGCCCAAAGGUUCCCUCAGUGCGGUUGGAAACCGUGCGAAGAGUGCAAAGGCAGAAGGGAGCUUGACUGCGAGACAGACAGGUCGAGCAGGGACGAAAGUCGGGCUUAGUGAUCCGGUGGUACCGAGUGGAAGGGCCAUCGCUCAACGGAUAAAAGCUACCCCGGAUAACAGGCUGAUACCCCCCUAGAGUCCACAUCGACGGGGGUGUUUGGCACCUCGAUGUCGGCUCGUCUCAUCCCGGGGCUGAAGCAGGUCCCAAGGGUUGGGCUGUUCGCCCAUUAAAGAGGUACGCGAGCUGGGUUCAGAACGUCGUGAGACAGUUCGGUCCCUAUCCGCUGUGGGCGUUGGAGGUUUGAGUGGAGCUGCCCUUAGUACGAGAGGACCGGGGUGGACAUACCGCUGGUGCACCGGUUGCAGUGCCAACUGCACAGCCGGGUAGCUAAGUAUGGAAGGGAUAAGCGCUGAAAGCAUCUAAGUGCGAAGCCCCCCACGAGAAAAGACCUCCUUGAGAAUAUCUGAAGAUCCCUGGAAGACUAACAGGUAGAUAGGUCGGAGGUGUAAGUGCAGCGAUGCAUGUAGCUGACCGAUACUAAUAGAUCGAACGCUUAA
rnacentral:rRNA from 1 species